GGGGGUGAAAGGUUUCGACCCGGCUUUUGGUCUAGAAGCAGCAUGUGGAGGUUGUCGGGAGGCCUCUUUAAACACCCGGCGCAAACUAAACGCAAACUACAAUUCAGUAGCCGAAGCUGAGUCAAUCUUGGCAGAGGGUGCGUUAGCUCUCGUAUAACGAGAGCUGCUCCGUUAGUAAGCUUCCUGGGAUACUAAUCGGGGUUAAAGCUAAGCAGGAGUAGUUCGGGGGAUUGCUUUAGGCUCCCGGGCGAAAAUAAAUAAAGCUGCUUCUUUCUAAAUCCCGUUUACCGGAGUUAGAAAGAAAAAGACAAAAAGCAAACUAAACAUGUAGACACUUCUGGGUUUAAGGCCGGGGACGCGGGUUCGAAUCCCGCCACCUCCACCA
rnacentral:sRNA from 1 species